AUGGCAUUGAAGCAAGAGGCUGCUCAACUGAAGUGCGAUGCUUCCAAGAAGCGAGUCAGAGAUGCUACUCCUUCUUCCUCUACUCAAGUGGCUAAGCAGCAGAAGUAUUGGCUUCCUCCUCCUCCGUUCCGUCAGCCUUAUCAACAGAAGAGCAAAGGUGGCAGUGGAUCUUCCCACCCACCCAACCCUGGCUUUCAGAACAAGACUUCGUCUCAAGCUCCAAGAUCGAGUGAUCCGUAUCACCGUCCGCUUUCAGAGGUCACGUGCAAUAAGUGCCAACAGAAGGGUCACUAUGCCAACAAAUGCUUCAACCAGAGGCGUCUCCCUCCUCCUCCUCCUCCUAUGAGAUCGGCAAGUACAGCUGUGGUCAAGCAUAACCCCAAGCAUGCCAAGGUCAACUUGCUGAAUGCAGCUCAGGCAGAGGACUCGUCAGAUGUCAUCAUGGGUAACCUUCCUGUUAACGAUAUUCCAGCUAAAGUACUUUUUGAUACUGGUGCAUCGCAUUGUUUCAUGUCAAAGCCAUUUUUUUGCCAAGCACGAAUUCGUUUCUUCUCAUUUGGGCAAACAAAUGGAUAUCGUUUCUCCUGGCAAACAUUUGAG
rnacentral:rRNA from 1 species